rnacentral:rRNA from 1 species
UACAGAGGUGGCAAGCGUUGUUCGGAAUUACUGGGCGUAAAGGGCGCGUAGGCGGCCCGUCAAGUCCCGUGUGAAAGCCCCCGGCUCAACCGGGGAACGGCGCGGGAAACUAGCAGGCUUGAGUUCGGGAGAGGGAAGCGGAAUUCCGGGUGUAGCGGUGAAAUUCGUAGAUAUCAGGAGGAACACCAGUGGCGAAGGCGGCUUUCUGGACGGUAACUGACGCUGAGACGCGAAAGCGUGGGGAGCAAACAGG